rnacentral:rRNA from 1 species
GGUAUUUUGACCGUGCAAAGGUAGCAUAAUCAUUAGUUUUUUAAUUGAAAGCUGGAAUGAAAGGUUGGAUGAGAAAUAAGCUGUCUCUAUUUAAUUUUAUUAGAAUUUUAUUUUUAAGUAAAAAAGCUUAAAUUUUAAUAGAAGACGAGAAGACCCUAUAGAGUUUUAUUUAUUUUUUAAAUAAAAUUAAUAGUAUUAAUUAUUUUUGUUUAAAUGAUAAAUUUAGUUGGGGUGAUUGAAAAAUUUAAUAAACUUUUUUUAUAUAAAUACAUUGAUAUAUGAUUAAUUGAUCCUUAAUUUAAGAUUAAAAGAUAAAAUUACCUUAGGGAUAACAGCGUAAUUUUUUUUGAGAGUUCUAAUCGAAAAAAAAGAUUGCGACCUCGAUGUUGGAUUAAAAUAAAAUUUUGGUGUAGAAGCUAGAA